rnacentral:ncRNA from 1 species
UAAAAUUCUAUGAAAGGAAUAGUAGAUAUAUUAUUAGUAUCUUAAGCGAGUAGAGGAUGGUGUAAGCUCUAUGAGAAAGUAUGUAUUGAAGACAUCCUGGAGAAGUUUAUCUGAAGGUAUUAAUAUGCAGGGAGUAUUUGGAUUUCCCUAGUAUUUGAAAGUUAAUUUUAGUAGGAUAAGCCGGAAGCCUCCGUUAAAAGGUUAGAGAUGACUUAGUUUAUUUGCUUAGUCAAAGUAGAAUGGCACCGUGAAGAUAAUGCUUUCACUUCUAUA